CCUACGGGUGGCAGCAGUAGGGAAUAUUGCUCAAUGGGGGAAACCCUGAAGCAGCAACGCCGCGUGGAGGAUGAAGGUUUUCGGAUUGUAAACUCCUUUUGUUAGAGAAGAUAAUGACGGUAUCUAACGAAUAAGCACCGGCUAACUGCGUGCCAGCAGCCGCGGUAAUACGGAGGGUGCAAGCGUUACUCGGAAUCACUGGGCGUAAAGAGCGCGUAGGCGGGAUAGCAAGUCAGUUGUGAAAUCCUAUGGCUUAACCGUAGAACUGCAUUUGAAACUGUUAUUCUUGAGUAUGGGAGAGGUAGGUGGAAUUCUUGGUGUAGGGGUAAAAUGCGUAGAGAUCAAGAGGAAUACUCAUUGCGAAGGCGACCUGCUAGAACGUAACUGACGCUGAUGCGCGAAAGCGUGGGGAGCAAACAGGAUUAGAUACCCGAGUAGUC
rnacentral:rRNA from 1 species